rnacentral:rRNA from 1 species
UACGGGGGGGGUAAGCGUUGUUCGGAAUUACUGGGCGUAAAGGGCUCGUAGGCGGCCAACUAAGUCAUACGUGAAAUCCCUCAGCUUAACUGGGGAACUGCGUCCGAUACUGGAUGGCUUGAGUUUGGGAGAGGGAUGCGGAAUUCCAGGUGUAGCGGUGAAAUGCGUAGAUAUCUGGAGGAACACCGGUGGCGAAGGCGGCAUCCUGGACCAACACUGACACUGAGGAGCGAAAGCCAGGGGAGCAAACGGG